CAUCGUCGUCGUGCUUGUACACACAUACGCACGCGCACAGUCUCCCGGCGCACACACGCACAUACGGCGGAGCCGAACCGUCACAAGACUACGCACCCACCCCUACGUUCGUAGCUCCUCUGCGUAUCUGCGAAGCUCGCUCCGUUCCCGACGCACCUAAGUCAGCGCGCAACUAACUCUUCCCUAUCUGUUUCCAUAUUGUUUGUUCCCCCCCUCAACACAAAACAAACGGCCACAAUGGACUGCAACACUGGGAUGCAGCUGGGGCAGCAGUUCUCUAAGGACGCCACGAUGAUGCAUGGUGGCGUGCCCAUGAGCGGCGCCAUGUCGGAGCAGGAUGCCCUGAUGGUGGGCGCGCAGGUGGCGGGCGCUAACCCCAUGAUGGCGGCUCAGUGGGCACAGAAUUUUCAGCAGCAACAGGCGAUGCAAGCGAUGCGACAGCAGCACGAGAUGGAGCAGGCAUUUCAGAACUCGCAGCAGCAGCAAGCCGCUGCUGCGCAGAGUAGACAGAUGCUUGGCAUGGCUGGGCCGCAGCAACAGCAAUUCAUGGCGCAGCAGCAGCAAGCAUCGAUGAUGAAUGCCGCUAUGAUGAGCCAGGGGAUGAUGGCGGCUAACAUGGGCUUAGGUAUGAUGAUGCCACGCACGCAGUAUCAGCCGUUGCCCAACCUGUCCGCGCUGCAGCCCAAGCAGCAGCAGCCGCUUGCCAACCUAGCACCAGCGGCGCAGGACUCGGCGUGGGCGGACCAGCUCAGCCAGCAACAAUGGAGCACCGACUACUCGCAGGUGCAGACCUUCAGUGCACCAGGGAUGGAGGACAAGACGGUGGAGGAGCGGAUAAAGGAUAGCGAAUUCUACAAGUUCAUGGACCAGGUCAAGAAUAAGGAGGUACUGAUUGACGAGGAGAAGGGCGAGCUGGUGCAGGGCCCCGGCCCCGAGGUCGGGGUGCCAGAGGAUGCGGAGUACCUUCGUCACUGGGCCGAGAUGGAGGGGCUACACAUGCCAGAGAGCGUCUUUCAGUCGCCUCCACCGGCGAGCGCGAUGACGUCUCCGGAGAACGGGGACCCGGACGCGUACGUCAAGGAGAUGGAUAUGGCCGCGAACGACGUCGAGGACUGGGCGCAGGAGUAUGCGGAGAUGCAGGAACGCCUGCAGAAGGUGACGAACAGCACCGACUACCCCUUCGAGCCUAACAACCCGUACAUGUUCCACGACUUUCCGUUCGAUGAGGGGAUGGAGAUGCUCCAGCUUGGCAACCUUGCCGAGGCCGCUCUUGCUUUUGAGGCGGUUUGCCAUAAGGACAGCAGUAAUGAGAAGGCAUGGCAGAUUCUUGGAACGACGCAGGCGGAGAACGAGAAGGACGGGCUGGCCAUCAUUGCGCUCAACAACGCCCGCAAACUGAACCCCCGCAACCUCGAGGUUCACGCCGCGCUGAGCGUGUCGCACACGAACGAGCGCAACGCCGACGCCGCCAUGGACUCGCUGAAGGCGUGGCUCAUAAAUCAUCCCGAGUAUGAGCAGCUCGCCUCCGUGUCUAUCCCGCCUAACGCGGAGCUCGACGUGCAGGAAACGUUCUUCUUUGCCGAUCCGUCCCGCAUGCGGGAGGCCCGUACCCUCUAUGAAGCCGCCAUCGAGAUGAACCCGAGCGACUCGCAGCUUUUCACGAAUCUCGGCGUGCUGCACAAUGUGGCACAUGAGUUCGACGAGGCUGCCGAGUGCUUCCGCAAGGCGGUCGCGCUGCACCCCGAUGACCCCAAGAUGUGGAACAAGCUCGGCGCCACCCUGGCAAACGGCGGCCACCCUGACCAGGCACUGGAGGCGUACAAUCGCGCUCUGGACAUCAACCCAGGCUAUGUACGGGCCAUGUACAACAUGGCAGUGGCGUACAGCAACAUGUCGCAGUACAACAUGGCCGCCCGCCAAAUUGUCAAGGCGAUCGCGUCGCAGCAGGGCGGCACGAAGCCCAGCGGCGAGGGUUCCAUCAUGGCGACACGCAACAUGUGGGACCUUCUGCGUAUGACGCUGAACCUCAUGGACCGCGAUGACUUGGUGCAGCUGACAUACAACGAGCAAUUGGAGCCGUUUGUGAAGGAGUUCGGACUUGAGGGCCACGUCUAAUCACCUGCUACACGAGGCAGAGACAGAGAGUGCUUCACAGCAGCGCGGUGGUAAGCGCAUUGCUGAGGAGUGGGAUGGGGGGUGCGGCAAGCGAUCCAUCGCCAUACCCUUUUCUUGGCCCGCUCUCCUCUCCGCCUUCGCCUAUACGUGAGCUCCUGUUCUUGCUGUCUCCCCCACUCGCUUCAGAGCUUAUUCUCUCUUUUCUCUCCUUCCUGUGCUCGCCCCCAACCGCCCUCCUUUUCCUCCAUCAAACGUCUGUGCUUCACCGUCUCCCUCUUUCCUUCCCUCUUUCCCUCUUUCCCUCCUUCCCUCCCCCCUUCCCUUCCCCCAAG
rnacentral:misc_RNA from 1 species